rnacentral:lncRNA from 1 species
GGUGGCUGGCCUGACCUUGAUCAUCUGCCUGUGGGGCUCCCUGGGGCACAGUUGGGAAUUUGUCCAUGGCACUGGGGCCUGGGCAUGGGAGGCAAGGCCGGGCAGUGGGAGGUGCCCUGAAUUGGUGAUCCAGCCACUUAAGCACUGAACCUCAAUACAGGAGACGUCACAGGAUUGCUGUAAGGAUCUAAAGAGCUGCCUCAGAAGAGAAGAAGGAACGGACACAAAUGAAAAUCAGAACACUAAAGAGAUUCAAAGAUUUGUCAUUUCCCUUCUGCUCAUGAAGGCCCUUGAUAGCUACACACGCAGUCAAGGCAACAAGCAAGCCUUCCACAUCCACGGUGGAUGGAGGCGCUCUUGAAAGGGGAGCCUUAGGAUGAAGGGAAAGGAAAAUGACCAGAAGGAAAGGACGGUGGGAGCGUAAAGAAGACUGACCUUGCACGGGGAAGGUGUGGACUUCUAGCCCAGCUAGAACUGGAUGUCUGCUUGCCCGACCCCGUGUCCUUGAGAAGGUCAGCUUCGAAGCCUCAGUCUCCCCACCUAUGAAACGAGGAUGCGGGUCUCCAACUCACCCACAGUGCGGCCCCCUCGAAAGACUCA